rnacentral:rRNA from 1 species
UGGGGAAUAUUGCACAAUGGGCGCAAGCCUGAUGCAGCCAUGCCGCGUGUGUGAAGAAGGCCUCGGGUUGUAAAGCACUUUCGGCGAGGAGGAAGGUGGUGGACUUAAUACGUUCAUCAAUUGACGUUACUCGCAGAAGAAGCACCGGCUAACUCCGUGCCAGCAGCCGCGGUAAUACGGAGGGUGCAAGCGUUAAUCGGAAUUACUGGGCGUAAAGCGCACGCAGGCGGUUUGUUAAGUCAGAUGUGAAAUCCCCCGGGGCUCAACCUGGGAACUGCAUUUGAAACUGGCAAGCUAGAGUCUCGUAGAGGGGGGUAGAAUUCCAGGUGUAGCGGUGAAAUGCGUAGAGAUCUGGAGGAAUACCGGUGGCGAAGGCGGCCCCCUGGA